AACAUAAUUUAUUGUCAAUUUUUGUGAAUUUUUUAGAUAAUAUGGACAAGCUGAGCAAAGCUGACCUGAGGGAAAUCCCUGGGACUUCAGAGGAGAUGUGGGAAAACUGUGGUUUUGAACCCCAGGGCAGCACUCUUCCUUCUCCAUCUAUCCACUCCGUAGCCAGCUCUGUCCCUGCCUCCUUGGCCAGUUCUGUAGAUCAGCAGGGCCUUACGUGCCGGCGACGAUGAAAACCCAGUUCAUGAUGACCUCCAAUUCUCAGGACGUAAAGAAGACAAUCUACCACUAGAACACACAGCCCAACACUUUGAAUGUCGUUUCAAAGCAAAAGUAACAAACCUAAAUUCAAAUUCAAAAACACAGAUAGAUAAACUUUUAAAACAAGUAUGGGAUAUCAUCAAUGAGCAAAAUGAGGAACAGAAGCCAUCGCGCUCCCGCCGUGUCAGAACUAGUCCCUACCCAUCAACCCAUGAACUCACUGCUCCAGGGUCUCCGGGAGAAAGCUUCAGUCAGAACUUCGACAGUGCUGGGUCUAGUGUUCCUCAGAUUCAGAGCUUACAGAACUGUUCUACCCAAAUCUGGAUUAUAUCAUCUGAUGAGACUUAAAGGGAUUGUCGUUGUGAUUUCAAGAGACCCUCUAGUAAAAAAAUAGAGGAGCUUGCUCGAUUCACAACCGUACCCUUGAAUCCUUUAUUCAAACAAUUGAAAUAAUGAAUUUUUAAAAUGUUAAAGGUUACCGUUGUGUAUGAGGCAUGCAACUCUAGAAAUGAGGAGUCCCUUAAAAAUAGGACACAGUCUCUUUAAGAAUGUAGAAUGUAUUGAAAUGUAUUAAGGGCAAUAGCUUGAUUGGAAUUAAUUAUAACACAUUACUGUAAAACAAAUUUAAACUCCCUGAACAGAAUUUGGAAUAAAUCAUGAAUUUUGAUAACUUUUA